GUCCUUAAAAAGGAGUGGAGAAUGACUCAGAGUACUGAGUGAUGCAGUUGUGAUAGUUCUCUCACCGUGACCAUGUUGACCGUUCUGCUUCUCAGUGCUGUCGUUGCUCUGGGUGAUGCAGGCAAUGGGGUAAGCGCAAGUGUCCAAAAAGAUGGUUUGAGUUUUAGUCACAAUGCUUCCUGAUUGACUAGACUGCGACGACCUGGCGUGAAGCAGAGCACAACUGUGUCUCUGGGCCAGAAUCUAGAGUCUGAGCAUGAUUCCGACAGCUACUCUAGACACUUUGCAUCGGUGCACAACCCUGAGGAAUUCCAGUUCCUGCUGGCACUAACACAGACUGUGAGCCUCCCGCUCUGGAUUGGAGGUUCAGCCCAGAUGGUAGUGGGAAGAUUCAGGAUGUGCUUGCUAAAGGCAACUUCCAAAACCACCUGAUCUUCAUUGAUCGCCCCCCCCUCCACACACAUGAUGGACGAUGGUCCUGGAGUGAUGGCUCCAAAUUCAAUUACAAGAACUGGGCCAAAGGAAAGCCGGAGAACUUUGAUCCUGCCAGAAGGCCAUGUAUCCAGAUGAACUAUGGAGAGAAACACUGGAAUGAUGCAACAUGUGG
ensembl:lncRNA